rnacentral:lncRNA from 1 species
CGGCCCUUCCUCGGGGCGGCUCGGGCGCCGGCCGCUGCGCGCCCGCCCCUCGCUCCUCUGGCCUCGGGGGCUGAGGGUCCCAGUCCGGUGCGGUGCCUUCCCCUCAGCCCCGGUGCUCGACCCCUGGCCUCGGGCUUCCCUCCUGCCCGGCGCACGGAGCCGGGCCGCCGAGCUCGUAAGGCCGCGUGGGGGGCGCAUGGGGAGAGGAGCGCCGCGCGGAGGCGGCGAGGGCAGGGGACGGCCACCCCGGAAAGACUGCGACAUCCCUGGGUCUGUGCUGUGAAGCCAAGCGGUAGGGAUGGCAAGCGAUGUUAUUUAUUUUACUCGGAAUUCGAUUUAGGUGGCCCGGGGGAAAGGUGGCUUAUGAGUUUGGAACUGGGUUUUACAGCGAGGGAGGGGAAGCCCUUGCGUCAAGGGGAGGGUGGGGUGGUCGAGGGCAGAGGAUCUGGCUGCUCCGGUGGGUUUGGCAGACGACUUCUUUCCAUUCCUCAGUGGGAGACUUCAGGGACCUUUUGGUUAUUUGAGCAUGUCCGGAAAGUUGUAAGUCGUGUGUGCGUGGCGAGGGGAUGCCUUGAGGGUUUCCAAAGGCCCAUGUUCCUCCCUAACCCAGGGGGCGGAGAGCUUGCAUUCUGUUGGCUGUGGAUGUUUAUUUCCAUCUCGUGUAUAGGCUGAAGAAUCUGGGAGGAGGAGAAAAAGCCAGAAACCAAAUUGGUGGCCCCGGGCGGAUGGGUUGCAGUUGGAAGGGUCCCGAGGGAGCUUGAAGCCUUAUUCUCAGAGUCGCUCACUCCCCGCACCCCACUUGAGCACCGAGGUCAGCCAGGCGCUAGUCACGCCGGUCAAUUUGUCUCAGCCUCCCUUUUGAGUCCUUUGGUACCCUGACCUUGGGUAGCGGGAGGUGGCAUACUCAGAGAGCCUUGGGGGCCCCAGCCUUCAACUCCCGGGGCUGCCACCUUUCCGGGAGUAGGUGGACACGUGGGGCUCUGCCCUUCUGAGCCCAGCGCUGUUUAGAUUUAAUAAGCAAUUGUAAAGUGACUGAGGUGGGUAGCAGGAUCAUUUCUUACAUCCCAUUAGGGCCUUAUGACGUCUGCAGGUCCCUUUAACUCGGCUUCUGUCAUUAUCCUACACUAGAAGCAAGUAGUGUUUCUGUUAGAUUCCCGUUCCACAGAGCAGGCAGUCUGCACAGUGGGGUCCACCUCGGGGGUGUGGACCUGAGCCCGGGGCUCCAUGACAAACCGAACACCCAACUAUGCAAGGCCUACACCUGGCCGCACCACAUGCUCUGGGCUGGGCCGUGGGGAGCCAGCGGGCAGGCAGCUGGGGCACGGCUCAUGCGAGACUCCUCCCCCUUAAUGCCCUUUGGGCCAUGUGAGUGGGGCCAGAAAACUGAGAUUCAGAAGCAGUUGCAUUCCCUUCUAGACCUUGUUCCGUCUGUUUUAGCGUAGACAUGGCCUUGGGGCCUGAGGCCUUGGCUGCUGGGGCUGGGGGCGGGGUAGGAGGCAGAGUAGUCAAGGGUGGGAAGAGGGCGUGGAUGGUGGUGGCGAGGAGGGGGCUGGCUGGGUCAGGUGGCGGGUGGGGUGGGGUGGUGAGGAGGGCAGGGGCCCGGGGGAGGCAUCAGCAGUGCUGGGGGAUGUCCCCUCUGUCCCCGGUUUGUCUUCUCUCCCUGUGGGACAGGAGCCUCAGAAAGGGCCAAGGGCAAGGUGGGCUAGCCUCGCACGGCCAGGGUCUGGCUCCGUGCCCAUCCUCCUGAUACGGCCCUCGAAUGCAUACCCUUGGGCCCCUUCUGGGCCCCCCCUGCUACUGCCUUGUGUGAAGCUGUCGGCAGGAGGGCCUAGCUUUAAUAAAGAGUGGAGAAAUGCGCUUUCUGAGUGGAUUCCAUGUUGUUGCCAUUCCUCGGUGCCUCGGAGGCUCUGCAAGGCCUCAGGCCCAUCUGGUUUCCACAAACUUUUUUGUAGGGGUUUCCCUUGACAGAAACUAGCCUUGGCCCAUGAGGCGUCAGCCGCAGACGAGCUUUGACCCCCUGCUGUCUGUGUCCACCAAGUCUUUCCAGGAGUCCCCAGUGGCCCCCCCGACUGCCACACAUUCCUUGGAACACACACACCUAUCUCGGGACGUUACUGUGUUCAGGUUUGUUUUGGCCAGCCUCCCCAUAGUCAAAGGAGAGAGCCAGGUCCCCUUCUUUGUGGUCCAGACACUCCUGAGUCACAGACCCCUCCUCAGAGGCCCCACGGCCAUGUGGGUUUAUCCAGGUCCACCCGCUCUGUGCCAGGGCACCUGCUCCCCACAGCCCCAAACCCCUUCCUCUGGACUGAUCCGUUGACUGCUUUCUUCUCACUCCGCUUUGUCCUCGUGACGAGGCCUGACCCUCCCAUCCUUUUCCCAUGGAUUUGAAAAAUGUGAACUAUGAAGUAAAUUUUCUUUUCAAAUGUGAUUCGGAGGUAUCAGAACAAAACCCAGUCUUUCAGUAGCAGGUGGAUGUUAAGAUCUAGUUAAAAAUGGGUGACCUCAAGGAUCGCAAAGUCUCUUCAGAACAGUUAAAUGAUUCCCCGAUAGAGCUCACAGUUGUCCAGCCAAAUACUUUGUUUUAGGGGGGAAAAUAAAACAACCCUGAUGGUCACAGAAAUAACGUAGACAGCCUUCCUGGUUUUGAGAGGACUUCGGGAUUUCUGGAGUCCUGAUUCCGCAUGUGUCAGUUUAGCAUCUCCCAUCAUUGCCAAGGAGGAAUGGAAGCCCCCAGCGGCCCGUGAGAUGUGACCCAUGAAAGGUGGUACUUCGAGGACCACGAGCCCCUGAGCACCCCUCGCCUUCACCUACCUUUGCCAUUUUCCUGUUUCUCUAUUACUCAAACUUCCCCAAGCUCCUGCCUUUCCUCCAACCCUUUCACUCAAUCUCUUCAAACAUUUCCCUCUAACUCUCUCUCUCUCUAAUUGGCUACCUAUGGAAUAAAAUAUUUUGAAGUUUUGGGUUAUAUUUAUUAAAUAAAGCUUUAUGAUCCUUGUUCAUUAUUUUUUUCCUGAUUAUAAAACACACGCUAGUUGUAAG